UACGGAAGGCAGCAGUGGGGAAUAUUGCACAAUGGGCGAAAGCCUGAUGCAGCUAUGCCGCGUGUAUGAAGAAGGCCUUAGGGUUGUAAAGUACUUUCAUCGGGGAGGAAAAACAAAACUAAUAAUUUUAUUUCUUGACGUUACCCGAAAAAGAAGCACCGGCUAACUCCGUGCCAGCAGCCGCGGUAAUACGGAGGGUGCUAGCGUUAAUCAGAAUUACUGGGCGUAAAGAGCACGUAGGUGGUUUUUUUAAAGUCAGAUGUGAAAUCCCUGGGCUUAACCUAGGAACUGCAUUUUGAAACUGAAAUACUAGAGUAUCGUAGAGGGAGGUAGAAUUCUAGGUGUAGCGGUGAAAUGCGUAGAUAUCUGGAGGAAUACCUGUGGCGAAAGCGGCCUCCUAAACGAAUACUGACACUGAGGUGCGAAAGCGUGGGGAGCAAACAGGGAUUAGGGAUACCCGU
rnacentral:rRNA from 1 species